rnacentral:rRNA from 1 species
CCUGGUUGAUUCUGCCAGUAGUCAUAUGCUUGUCUCAAAGAUUAAGCCAUGCAUGUCUAAGUAUAAGCAAUUAUACCGUGAAACUGCGAAUGGCUCAUUAAAUCAGUUAUCGUUUAUUUGAUAAUACCUUACUACUUGGAUAACCGUGGUAAUUCUAGAGCUAAUACAUGCUGAAAAUCCCGACUUCGGAAGGGAUGUGUUUAUUAGAUAAAAAACCAAUGCCCUUCGGGGCUUUUUGGUGAUUCAUGAUAACUUUACGGAUCGCAUAGCCUUGCGCUGGCGACGGUUCAUUCAAAUUUCUGCCCUAUCAACUUUCGAUGGUAAGGUAUUGGCUUACCAUGGUUUCAACGGGUAACGGGGAAUUAGGGUUCGAUUCCGGAGAGGGAGCCUGAGAAACGGCUACCACAUCCAAGGAAGGCAGCAGGCGCGCAAAUUACCCAAUCCCGACACGGGGAGGUAGUGACAAUAAAUACUGAUACGGGGCUCUUUUGGGUCUCGUAAUUGGAAUGAGUACAAUCUAAAUCCCUUAACGAGGAACAAUUGGAGGGCAAGUCUGGUGCCAGCAGCCGCGGUAAUUCCAGCUCCAAUAGCGUAUAUUAAAGUUGUUGCAGUUAAAAAGCUCGUAGUUGAACCUUGGGUCUGGCUGGCCGGUCCGCCUCACCGCGAGUACUGGUCCGGCUGGACCUUUCCUUCUGGGGAACCUCAUGGCCUUCACUGGCUGUGGGGGGAACCAGGACUUUUACUGUGAAAAAAUUAGAGUGUUCAAAGCAGGCCUUUGCUCGAAUACAUUAGCAUGGAAUAAUAGAAUAGGACGUGCGGUUCUAUUUUGUUGGUUUCUAGGACCGCCGUAAUGAUUAAUAGGGAUAGUCGGGGGCGUCAGUAUUCAGCUGUCAGAGGUGAAAUUCUUGGAUUUGCUGAAGACUAACUACUGCGAAAGCAUUCGCCAAGGAUGUUUUCAUUAAUCAGGGAACGAAAGUUAGGGGAUCGAAGACGAUCAGAUACCGUCGUAGUCUUAACC